AUACUUACCUGGCAGGGGCGAUACCAUGAUCAUGGUGGUUCCCCCAGGGUAACACUCAGCCACUGUACUCCGGUUGUGUUGACUCCUGCGAAUUCCCGGUGUGUGGGAGUCUCAAAUGCAUAAUUUCUGGUAAUGGGGGGCUGCGUUCGUGCUUUCCCGUG